rnacentral:rRNA from 1 species
AGUGAACGCUGGCGGUAGGCCUAACACAUGCAAGUCGAACGGCAGCACAGUAAGAGCUUGCUCUUACGGGUGGCGAGUAGCGGACGGGUGAGGAAUACAUCGGAAUCUACUUUUUCGUGGGGGAUAACGUAGGGAAACUUACGCUAAUACCGCAUACGACCUACGGGUGAAAGCAGGGGAUCUUCGGACCUUGCGCGAUUGAAUGAGCCGAUGUCGGAUUAGCUAGUUGGCGGGGUAAAGGCCCACCAAGGCGACGAUCCGUAGCUGGUCUGAGAGGAUGAUCAGCCACACUGGAACUGAGACACGGUCCAGACUCCGACGGGAGGCAGCAGUGGGGAAUAUUGGACAAUGGGCGCAAGCCUGAUCCAGCCAUACCGCGUGGGUGAAGAAGGCCUUCGGGUUGUAAAGCCCUUUUGUUGGGAAAGAAAAGCAGCAGGUUAAUACCCCGCUGUUCUGACGGUACCCAAAGAAUAAGCACCGGCUAACUUCGUG